rnacentral:rRNA from 1 species
AUUGAACGCUGGCGGCAUGCCUAACACAUGCAAGUCGAACGAGUGGAGGACGGGUGAGUAAUGUCUGGGAAAGUGCCUGAUGGAGGGGGAUAACUACUGUAAAAGGUAGCUAAAACCGCAUACAAUCGGAUGUGCCCAGAUGGAAGUAGCGAGUCGGGGGGGUAAAGGCUCACCUAGGCGACGAGCCCUAGCUGGUCUGCGCGGAUGACCGUCCACACUGGAACUGCGACACGGCCCAGACUCCUACGGGAGGCAGCAGUGGGGAAUCUGUCACAAUGGGCGCAAGUCUGACGCAGCAAUGCCGCUGGUAUGAAGAAGGCCUUCGGGUUGUAAAGUACUUUCAGCGGGGAAGCGUUACCCGCAGAAGAAGCACCGGCUAACUCCGUGCCAGCAGCCGCGGUAAUUC